UUUUCUGAUACAUAUUAACUAAUUUAUUCUUAUAAUAGUAUGAAUGAGGUUGAAUAACUAAACUAAUGAACUGCUGAUUGAGCAGAGUAAUCUGAUUGGUCAAUUGCAAUGUGUAUACUUUGUUUUCAUACUAACUUACAUGUACAUGGCUUCUCUAAUUUUAGUCAUCAUUAGUAGCUAUCAGUAUUACCUUUAUAGCAAAUUUGGCAACUAAUAAUCUGUCAAUUGCCUUUUCACCAAUACUGAAUUGUAAUGCAAUGUUGAAGAGAAAGAAUUCAGUGUUGACUUGUUUGUCAUUGUGUAUGUGAUUGUGUGAGUAACUAUUAUCUUGAUAGCUAUUACUCUAAAAUUUUUAGGAUGCUGUAGUUGAUGAUCAUUAAUUGUUUUAUAGUAAAUGAUGUGUCCUUACAAGUCAAUUCAUCAAUUUAUAGCUGAAUUAAGGCCUUUUCACACUGGCACAGUUUUCAAAGCGCUUUUGUGAGCUUUGUUGAUACAGCUGAAAUAAUGCAGCUGCAUGCUUUGUUGAUACAGCUGCGCAUUACUUGUGCCAGUGUGAAAAGGCCUUUAGUCUUUCUAAAGUUUCUAUAACAAGUACAUUGUAUUAUUAUUCUACAGGUAAUAACAUGUUUCUAACACUUCAAUGCUAUUUUUUGAUACAGCUGAACCACUAAAAUCUACUAGUACAAGCACCCAUUCUGAUUCAUGCAUGCCCUGAGACUAUCUAACUACAUAUGUGAUGGGUACUUGCAUGCAUUUUCUAGUAAAACUUUGCCACUUUAUAUCAUCUUUGCAUGGGAAAUAGAUGCUGCUGUGAAAAGUAUUAGUGAAAGAUAAAGAGAAGUGAGACAAGGAGGACUACCAAAAAGUGAAGAAAAAGAAGAGCAGUACCAGGUAGUAGAUCUACUAGAAACAAACAGCUAGGAUGAAUUGUGAAUUUAAAAAAAACUGAGAAAGUUGAAUUUAAAUCAUUUGUCACAUUAUUGUACUAUCUAUGUAGUCAUAAAAUGAAAAAAAUUAUCUAGGUGUGGUCAUUGUGGGUUAUAUA